UUCGGGUGAAUCAGCGAGGACCACCUCGUAAGGCUAAAUACUCCUGUGUGACCGAUAGCGAAACAGUACCGCGAGGGAACGGUGAAAAGAACCCCGGGAGGGGAGUGAAAUAGAACAUGAAACCAUCAGCUUACAAGCAAUCGAAGCCCGAUUAAACGGGUGACGGUGUGCCUGUUGAAGAAUGAGCCGGCGACUUAUAGGCACUGGUAGGUUAAGACGGGAAUGUCGAAGCCAAAGCGAAAGCGAGUCUGAAUAGGGCGUUAAUCAGUGGUUAUAGACCCGAACCCGGGUGAUCUAACCAUGGCCAGGAUGAAGCUUGGGUAAAGCCAAGUGGAGGUCCGAACCGACCAAUGUUGAAAAAUUGGCGGAUGAGCUGUGGUUAGGGGUGAAAUGCCAAUCGAACCCGGAGCUAGCUGGUUCUCCCCGAAAUGUGUUGAGGCGCAGCGGUCAUGAUUAUAGUCUGGGGGUAAAGCACUGAUUCGGUGCGGGCUGCGAGAGCGGUACCAAAUCGAGUCAAACUCUGAAUACCAGAUGAACACAUGGCUAGUGAGACGGUGGGGGAUAAGCUUCAUCGUCAAGAGGGAAACAGCCCAGACCACCAGCUAAGGUCCCCAAAUCACAGUUCAGUGAUAAAGGAGGUGGGAGUGCAUAGACAACCAGGAGGUUUGCCUAGAAGCAGCCAUCCUUAAAAGAGUGCGUAAUAGCUCAC
rnacentral:rRNA from 1 species